UCAAACUUGGUCAUUUAGAGGAAGUACAAGUCGUAACAAGGUAUCCGUAGGUGAACCUGCGGAUGGAUCAUUACCGAGUGAUUUUGUUUGUAAUGUGAAUUGUUGAUUGUUUGGUUGGUGGGUUUUGUUUUUGGUGUAUUGAUUUACUUUGGUACAUUGAUGUUCCUUGGUACAUUGAUGUUCCUUACUAUAUCGAUGUCCCUUUGUAUAUCGAUGCCCAUACAUCAAAACCACCAGCCUUUGUACGUACACUAUGCAAGCCUGAGUCCAUUCACUGAAUGAUAAAACAACUUUUAGCAAUGGAUCUCUUGGCUCUCGCAUCGAUGAAGAACGCAGC
rnacentral:misc_RNA from 1 species